rnacentral:rRNA from 1 species
GACGAACGCUGGCGGCGCGCUUAACACAUGCAAGUCGAGCGAGAACCAGGGCUUCGGCCCUGGGGACAGCGGCGAACGGGUGAGUAACACGUGGGUAAUCUGCCCUCGGCAUCGGGAUAGCCCGGGGAAACCCGGAUUAAUACCGAAUAGCCUCCGGAGCUCUCGGGCGCCGGAGAAAAGGUAGCUUCGGCCUCUGGCCGAGGAUGAGCCCGCGGCGGAUUAGCUUGUUGGCGGGGUAACGGCCCACCAAGGCGACGAUCCGUAGCUGGUCUGAGAGGCCGAGCAGCCAGACUGGGACUGGGACACGGCCCAGGCUCCUACGGGAGGCAGCAGUGGGGAAUCUUGCGCUAAUGAGGGGAACCGUGAUGCAGCGACGCCGCGUGGGGGAAGAAGGCCUUCGGGUUGUAAACCUCUUUCAGGAGGGACGAAGCUACUCGGGUUAAUAGCCCAGAGGGUGACGGUACCUCCAGAAGAAGCCCCGGCUAAUUACGUGCCAGCCGCCGCAGUAACAC